UAUUUGCAGAGUGGUUCAGCUCUUUUCUCUCUCUUGCCUGUCAAAAAGAUGCUAUUCCUGUGAUUAAAACCAUUACAGUCCUUCAAAGGUCAUACAUGACUUUCAGGCUUCAGCCUCCAUAGCAGCAGAAAAUGAUUCCUACAAAGAAGCUAUGGAUUGAAGAUAUUUAUUAUGCAAGCUCAAAUGAAUGACAAGAAAGUGGCAGAGCUGACAUUCUUCAAACACCCAGAAUAAUCUUCUUACAGCCAUACUAUCAGAACAGAAAAAAGUUGGAAGUUAAAUCCUAACCACUGGCUGGACUGUACAGUUGCCUCUGAAACUUCACUCUCUAAGAGAGAAGAAAGAGACUGAGACCCAAGGCCUGUGGAAGGGACACAGGGCAUUGAGAAAGGAGGGCAGAAAGGGAGUUGAGAGAAUGCUACUGAAAUUCAAUUGGCCUCUGGAGGGGAAGAAGAAGAAACGUCCUUCUCCGGUUCAGCGUGACACUUUGAGCACCGGGAUCCCGCUUAAUGCUAGUCAUCCUCUGUUAUUCCUGUGAUGCAGUUCAGCUUUGACAGGCUACCCUGCAAAUCUAUUGAUCUUUCAGAUAUAACAUUUCUGAUGUGGCAAGUGAUGUCCUGGGUAAUGUAUUACCAUCUUUAUCAUAGUCUUUAGGGUACUAUGCAUUUUAGAUAGGAACCACCUGUAUUAGAAUAUAAACAAAGGUAAAUAUUUAAAUAUAAAAAGGAGUAAGUUUGCAUAUCCAACCAAAUUUCCUCAUAAUUUAAUGAAAACACAAUAACCUUCAUUUUGUGGUAUCUGGAAGAACCCCACUUCUCAGAUGACACUGCCUUCAACAGCAAAUACUAGAUGUUUUUAGAAACUGCAAAUAUUCUUGCAAAGAAAGUCAUUCUGUUCGGUAAAGACCAACUUGGAAAGUGACAACUAUAAAUAAUUGAUUCUUUUUAAGUUCAAGACCUUUGAUGCCAUAUUUUCAGAGUUAAUAAUAAUUUUUAAAGGUUCAACAUAGCUGUGCAAGUACUUUGUAACAAUUGUCAUGUGCUUAUUAGCAUCAAAAAUUACUGGAUCUUAUAAGAUCCAAACUUGUAAGACAGCCUAUGAGUAGGAAAUUUGAUGAAUUUUAUUAAUAGGCAGAAGUUUCAAGUGUGUGAAUGUUCUGAAUCAUUUAUAAUGAUUUUUAAAGGAUUCAGAAUUACUUAUUCUGAAAAAUUAAGCUCUGUACUAUCUCCAAUACAUACUGGUGAUGAAUAUAUAGUACAGGCAUUUUUACUUUUCCUUCUGAAGUUAAGUUUUGCUUUAUAUUUUAUUUUUUAAAACUAAGCAACUUAAAAAAUGAAGUAUCAAUAUACAAUUUAGACUUUUCAUGUAAUUCUAUACUAAAAUGAACUGAAAGGCUUUCAUAAUAAUGCUAUGAAACAUCAAAUAGUUACAAAUCUAAGUUGAACUUGUGAUUUAAAAUGUAGCUAUUUCCAGAAAAUCUCAUAUAAAAUAAAUCUAUCAUAUGAAGUGAUUAUUAAACAUCAUUUUAAAGGUUUAAUGUGUAAAGAUAUUUAUCUCAGAAAAAAUUUAAAGGCUGGGUGGGACAUUAUAGUCGAGGGUUCAUAGGAACUCAAAGUAUUAGGAAGAUUAAGUGAUUCUCCGAACACCAGUGAGAAGUGCGUAGAAGAUGGAGGUCACCCUUUGAAAGAAGAUCUCUAUGACCUGUGUAAAUAGGAGCCCCACAAACACUUCCAACAAGCAUAGGUCAGAAUAGGGUCACGGCCCCAGGCCCUCUGGACCACUGCUCGUCAAGGGGACUGUGCUCAC